UGCAUAUGAUGGGUCCCAUCGUUAAAAUCUACGGCUGCCAGACCGCCUGUGAGGAAAAAAUAGUGAAGCAUUGCUGUGCCAAUAACUCACAUCGUUCCUCCCGGCUCCCAGUAAAGAUAAAAAUUUCCCUCGCAAAAGAAAAAGGAGAGUGAGGAGAACUUCUCCGGCUUAUGGCACUCAUGAGUCGCCUCCAGCGGUGUACGUCUCUGUCGUUUCGCUCUCUCUAAUCAAGCUCAUAUCUGGAAACAACAAAAGGCUCUUCGCUCUUCCGAUCAGUAGCUGCCCUGGAUAGCGGCGGCGGCGGCUCGACAUGUACGCUUGCAUUAUCUGGAAAAUCAUCUGCAAAGAAGGAACUCGCUCAAUCUCUGACGAAAAACAUUGCUAUUAAAAUCCCUGAUAAUACCGAAGUUUCCAUACUCUUGGAAUCGGAGAUCGCUAAACUGGACAAAGAAGAUCCUUUCAAUGUAGAGCUGUUCUUCAAUUCUCUUUCCACUAGUGGAUUCGAUAGGUUCCUCUUUUGGUCUCUGCGACUAACUUCGACUCACGAUGUCGUUUUGCAGUCAGCAUUGAGCAUCACCAAAUUGAAAUCUUUCCUUUACUUGUAUUAUGUGCGUAUUAGAAUGAUAUUGUUAUGUCUUGGCUUUCGGCAGAAUUAAUGUGAGCUUCCCAUUGGCACAGCUUGUGUUGCUGAUUUUCAAUAUAAAGGACGAGGUCUGUCAAAGCAUGUGUGGGAAUCUCCAUUAGGUUGAGUGUUGUUUUGUUUACUGCUCAAAUGGAGGACGGGCGAGUUGUGCCUUUGUUGCAGCACGUGGUGUCUCUUGCUGUUACAGAGGCAACAAAGGAUCUUUGUCACAGAAAAGACUUCACAUAUUCAGGAUAUUUAUUAGCUAUUGGUGAUUUCAAUCAAGUAUGCAAGCUUCAUCCUGAUGGAAAUAGGUAGAGUUAUUUUCUCAUUGAAGAAUGCAUUUGAUAUAAUUGCUGCCAAAGUAAUUCUAGCCCUUUCCUUUCUUAGAGGCUCAGAAAAUGUAACAGGUACAUAGUUUGGAAAAUUUUAUUUGAGCACAACUGAUGCCUAUUCUACAUGGCAAGAAAAAGAAAUUAAAUGGUGAGUAUCAAUUCUUAAAGUACAACAUGCAAGAUAUACAAUGGGGCUAUGGCUGGAUUCCAUUACUUUUUUGCAUCUAUAAGGUGCUUAAUAAGAUGAUCCUGUGGAACUGAAAAAUGGAGUUUGGUAGUUGGAAAAAAUACUUUUCCUGUGGAAGUUGUCUUCAGCUUUUUUAGCGGUUCCAUGUGGAACUUCUCAAAGGCCUGUAUUGCUCAGAAAAUAGCACCACAAAAGUGGUAGCUCUCAUGCAUCUUAUUUAUGUUAAUUGUCUUCAAAAAGGGAACUCCAUUGGUGGCAUGACUGAGGUUGAAUAUCUGGUAUUCUUUUUGCUUUGAGUAAUUCCCUUGUCCUUGUAUUUUUAUCAAUUGCCAUGAAAGAGUACCAUACAAGAUCUCUACAAACUCUUGUUAUACUUGAAAAUUUUAUUGUUUGCUUUCUCGUUAUUGAUGAGCACUUGAGUUAUUUUAUUUGCCUUCAUCUUUGUAUCAGUGGUAGGGGUAGGGAUUCUAAAUUUUCUGUCUCUAGUUGUAUGUCUUCAAAAUCUGCAUUUUUAGGAUGUGUGCUUCUUAAUGGUGAAUACUUCAAAGUUUGUUGUCUAGCUAAGGUUAUCAAGUUUGGUUUUGCUACAUCUGAUGUUUGUGGCAUAUGGACAUAGAUUGGUGUUUGUGCAUGUGCUGGUAUCCAGUGUCCAGUUUAAAAUUUCUCUAAUAAGAUUUGGUUCUUUCCUAUCUUUACAAUCAUUUAAAGUAAUUAACAAAGAAUAUCCUGCCACAUGCAGAAAAAACAUGUACUGAUCUCUUCUCUCCUUUUAAGAUCUGUAUUGGGCCUUUAUGCAUCAAUGAGUAAAACAAUUUCAUUCAUCCUAAAUAUUUCAAGCCGACAAGCCCUGCGGCCCUGCCACAUGGUGAACAACAUUAUUAAAUCAAGUUAGUUUAAGGUCAUUAACAACUUCCUCAAAGCUUUCUGAAAUUUUUCUGGUUAUCAACUAAACAACUAGAAAAACAUGCUUCCACAUGUUCGUGUCCUUCCAUUUUCUUAAUAAAAAUGACACGCUUAUCACUUAGCAUUGUUCCAUACGAUUAUAAUUGAGGUACUGGUUCUAAGAAUCCUAUAUUGAUUGGUGUCUUACUGGAUGUAAUAGGUCUUGUGUCUCAUGUGACUACAGUGUUGACAUUUUCUAGGACUGGUCAGAAGGAAACUUGAAUGGAGAAGAUGCCUUCGGCACUUUCAACUGGGAGCAACAUGAACUGUCAUGUUGGGACGUGCACAACAGAAGUUUUAUGAAUAUCUUUUUUGGUCUUUUGUUCUACCACUUGUUUAGUUUAAUUAAAUUAUUUGUGUUAUGUUUACAAAUCCAUUUUUAUAACACACACAAAUUCUGUCUUUUUUUA